GACGAACCGUGCGAACGUUGUUCGGAAUCACUGGGCUUAAAGGGCGCGUAGGCGGGCUGUCGCGUCUGGGGUGAAAUCCUCCGGCUCAACCGGGGAAGGGCCUCGGGUACGGACGGCCUCGAGGGGGGUAGGGGCGUGCGGAACUGUGGGUGGAGCGGUGAAAUGCGUUGAUAUCCACAGGAACUCCGGUGGCGAAGGCGGCACGCUGGACCCUUUCUGACGCUGAGGCGCGAAAGCCAGGGGAGCGAACGGG
rnacentral:rRNA from 1 species